rnacentral:rRNA from 1 species
UUAUAGUUUAUUUGAUAUAUUAAAUGGAUAACUGUAGAAAAACUAGAGCUAAUACAUGCCGAAGCCGCAAGGUUGUAUUUAUUAGAUAUUCCAAUUAGGUGAAUCAUGAUAACUUUUCAAAUCUCGGUUUUGCCGAGAUAAAUCAUCCAAGUUUCUGCCCUAUCAUGCUUUCGAUGGUAGUGUAUUGGACUACCAUGGCUUUCACGGGUAACAGGGAAUUAGGGUUCGAUUCUGGAGAAGGAGCCUGAGAAACGGCUACUACAUCUACGGAAGGCAGCAGGCGCGUAAAUUACCCAAUCCUGACUCAGGGAGGUGGUGACAAGAUAUAACAACGCAAUUUAAUUGUGAUUGUAGUGAGGGUUUUCCAAACCGAACCACUAGUACGAUUAGAGGGCAAGUCUGGUGCCAGCAGCCGCGGUAAUUCCAGCUCUAAUAGCGUAUAUUAAAGUUGCUGCAGUUAAAAAGCUCGUAGUUGGAUUUCAAGGAUUGUGUACUCUUCUAGGGUAUGCACCCUACUAGUCUUUGACUGUUACUGUGAGAAAAUUAGAGUGUUUAAAGCAGGCAAUUGCAAGAAUACAUUAGCAUGGAAUAACGAAUGUAUCUAGAAUCUUGGUUAAUUCUAGGUUUCGAUUAAUAGAGACAGUUGGGGGCAUUAGUAUUUAAUUGUCAGAGGUGAAAUUCUUGGAUUUGUUAAAGACUAACGUAUGC